CCUGCUGGAGGUCAGCCCUGACCUGUGGUGGGCGGGGCUUAGUUGGUCCAACUUCCUGGUCCCGCCCAGGAAGUCGUUAAGGGUACGGACCACAGGUGUGUCUCCUCUGGAGAAAUGUUUGGAGCAACAUUCACCUGCAUGUGGAUUCAGUCCUCAGCAGCUCAGAACCAGAACCAGGAAACCCGCAGAACUAAAGUCGUAACUACGCCUCCCACAAAGAAUGGGAGGGGCUAAUGUUGCCAUGGAGAUGGCGUCCCUACCUCCGCAUGGUCAGUGGGCAGACUGACGGCAUCUGCCCCCCCACUGUCGCAUUUAGUGAUUAGCGUAGCAUGCCGGCAGCAGCGAUUCCCUUGGGAGGAAUGAAAAUACCUGAAGUUGUUUGACAUCCGGGAAACAUCAUCGCACAACAGGAGCCGCCACCCACGAACAAAAGUCGGACUCUUAUGUGUUUUGACUUGAGAGAGAAUCCUCGUAUUUUCCGAGCUAGCAUGACAAGCCGUCUGAAAUGCCGCUUUAUUAUUAAAGGCCCUCUUUUCUCCUCCUUCCUGAAUAAUUAAUCGGAGCUGUCCUUUCCCGUUUCAUCAUCCCAACGUGUUUCCCGUCAGGAAACGUGUUGCUUUACCGACGACACGUUUGGCUGUGAGGAGCCGUUAGCUCAACCCGACGCCGCCACUCUCAACAGUGCC
rnacentral:lncRNA from 1 species